AUUGAACGCUGGCGGCAGGCCUAACACAUGCAAGUCGAGCGGAUGAAGAGGGCUUGCUCUCUGAUUCAGCGGCGGACGGGUGAGUAAUGCCUAGGAAUCUGCCUGGUAGUGGGGGACAACGUUUCGAAAGGAACGCUAAUACCGCAUACGUCCUACGGGAGAAAGCAGGGGACCUUCGGGCCUUGCGCUAUCAGAUGAGCCUAGGUCGGAUUAGCUAGUAGGUGAGGUAAUGGCUCACCUAGGCGACGAUCCGUAACUGGUCUGAGAGGAUGAUCAGUCACACUGGAAGUGAGACACGGUCCAGACUCCUACGGGAGGCAGCAGUGGGGAAUAUUGGACAAUGGGCGAAAGCCUGAUCCAGCCAUGCCGCGUGUGUGAAGAAGGUCUUCGGAUUGUAAAGCACUUUAAGUUGGGAGGAAGGGCAGUAAGUUAAUACCUUGCUGUUUUGACGUUACCAACAGAAUAAGCACCGGCUAACUUCGUGCCAGCAGCCGCAGUAAUAC
rnacentral:rRNA from 1 species